CGGACGGGUGAGUAACACGUGGAUAACCUACCUAUAAGACUGGGAUAACUUCGGGAAACCGGAGCUAAUACCGGAUAAUAUAUUGAACCGCAUGGUUCAAUAGUGAAAGACGGUUUUGCUGUCACUUAUAGAUGGAUCCGCGCGCAUUAGCUAGUUGGUAAGGUAACGGCUUACCAAGGCAACGAUGCGUAGCCGACCUGAGAGGGUGAUCGGCCACACUGGAACUGAGACACGGUCCAGACUCCUACGGGAGGCAGCAGCG
rnacentral:rRNA from 1 species